UGUGACGGCGGCCGCGGAGCCGCUCGCAGGCCCGGGAGCGCCGCCCAUCGCCCUCAUGGCGGCCCGGCGGGGCACGGACGAGAUGCGGGACCGCGUGGUGCUGGGCGAGUUCGGCGUCCGCAACGUCCACACCACCGACUUCCCCGGGAACUACCCCGGCUACGAGGACGCCUGGGACCAGCGGCGCUUCGAGGAGGCGUUCCGCGUGGACGUGAUCCGUGAGGAAGAUGACACCCUGGAGUUCGACAUGGUGGGCAUCGACGCCGCCAUCGCCAACGCCUUCCGCCGCAUCCUGCUCGCCGAGGUGCCAACGAUGGCUGUAGAGAAGGUCUUUGUGUACAACAACACAUCCAUUGUGCAGGAUGAAAUUCUGGCUCAUAGGCUGGGCCUCAUCCCUAUCCGAGCUGACCCACGGCUCUUUGAGUACAGAAACCAAGGAGAUCAAGAAGGCACUGAAAUUGAUACUCUGCAGUUUCAGCUGAAAAUCAAAUGCAAACGAAAUCCUCAUGCUGCCAAGGAAUCAUCUGAUCCUGAUGAACUCUAUUUCAAUCAUAAAGUGUACAGUAAGCACAUGACAUGGGUGCCCCUGGGGAAUCAGACAGACCUUUUUCCAGAUGCUGACUUCCGACCCGUUCACGAUGACAUCCUCAUUGCACUGUUGCGACCUGGGCAGGAAAUAGAUGUGCUUAUGCACUGUGUCAAGGGUAUAGGUAAGGAUCACGCCAAGUUCUCUCCUGUGGCCACAGCCAGUUAUCGACUGCUUCCUGACAUUACUCUCCUGCAGCCCAUUGAGGAUGAGGCAGCUGAGACGUUGCAGAAGUGCUUUUCCCCUGGAGUCAUUGAGAUCCAGAAUAUCAAUGGAAAAAAGGUGGCAAGAGUAGCCAAUGCACGGCUGGACACAUUCAGCAGAGAAGUUUUCCGACAUGAGGGCCUGAAAAACCUCGUGCGCCUGGCAAGAGUACGGAACCAUUACAUCUUUUCCGUGGAGUCCACGGGUAUCUUGCCUCCAGAUGUGCUGGUGAGUGAAGCCAUCAAGAUCCUGAUGGGAAAGUGUCAGCGCUUCCUCAAUGAGCUGGACUCUGUGUCUAUGGAGUGACCAGGCUGUUGGGAAAGCAGAAACCUGCACUGCUGUUCUGGGCUUCCUGCACCUGCCUUUAAGAAUUCCUCUUCCAUAGGCAGGGGUCUGCUCAGAGUCCAAGGACUGUCUGGAUUUUCUGUUGGUAAUGAGCCGUAGUGAGAAGAUGCACUAAAAUAAAGGCUUUUUUUUUUUUUUUUUUUUAAAAGCUGUCUCUUGUGCCAUUCACAAUUGUGAAACCAUAAUACAUGGAGAAGAAGGUGGCAGCGUGUCUAAAGAUGAGUAACAGCAUUCAUUUUAGAUGGUAUGCAGUGAGGAGGACUGAUGGGGCAGCGUAGUAAAGCACUUCACAGCAGGUCAGUGAGGUUUAACGAGUUGCUAUCAGGGCAUGGCUGGUUUGUGGGUGUUUCACACCAGCUCAGGGAUAGUUAAUACGAUACAGAAAAGGCUGUACUGUCAGAGGACUGGAACAUCUACCCUCUGAAGAAACUGAGAGAGCUGGGAUUGUUCAGCCUGGAGAACAAGAAAGCUCCCGGGAAACCCUGUUCUGGCCUUUCAGUAUAUAAAGGGGGCAUGGAGAAACUUUGCUUUUUUUAUAGUGACAGGCUGAGGGCCAACAGUUUUGAACUGGAAGAAGGUAGACUGGUAUUGAACAUUAGGUAUUUUUUACAAUGAGGGUAGAGGUAAGUUGUCACAGGUUGCCCAGAGCUGGGAAUGCCCCAUCCCUGGAAGUGUUCAAGCCAGAUUAGAUGGGGCUUUGAGCAACAUGUUUGAGUGUUAAGAGUUGAAAAUGUCUGGGAGUAUUGGUGUGUCCCAGUUGCUGAAGUCAAUGCACACUUUAGUGCUAGACCUCAGCAAGUCAGUAGAAUGAAAAUUUGUUUCCUUGGGGCAGAAUUACUUAGAGUGUAAACAUCCUGUUAGAGUGAACAUGCUGCAGGGAGGAGGUACACUUGGCAUCCUGGCCCCAGCCCCAGCCUGUCCCAUGCCAUGCUGCAGACCCAGGCAUAUGCUGCAUGUGCCUAUGAUGCAUUAUAUCUAUCUAUCAUCUAUCUAUCUAUCUAUCUAUCUAUCUAUCUAUCUAUCUAUCUAUUUCUCUGUGCUAUUGCUUCACAUGCUUAUGGGACAGACCCUUGAAAAGUCUAAGGGUUUUGCUUUGACAGCACAUACCCUCAAGCUGUAAGCUGGGACCUAGAAUUAAAAUAAACCAGCAGUGACAAAUACUUACCUCAAAAAUACA